AGUGAACGCUGGCGGUAGGCCUAACACAUGCAAGUCGAACGGCAGCACAGUAAGAGCUUGCUCUUACGGGUGGCGAGUGGCGGACGGGUGAGGAAUACAUCGGAAUCUACUUUUUCGUGGGGGUUAACGUAGGGAAACCUACGCUAAUACCGCAUACGACCUACGGGUGAAAGCAGGGGAUCUUCGGACCUUGCGCGAUUGAAUGAGCCGCUGUCGGAUUAGCUAGUUGGCGGGGUAAAGGCCCACCAAGGCGACGAUCCGUAGCUGGUCUGAGAGGAUGAUCGGCCACACUGGAACUGGGACACGGUCCAGACUCCUACGGGAGGCAGCAGUGGGGAAUAUGGGACAAUGGGCGCAAGCCUGAUCCAGCCGUACCGCGUGGGUGAAGAAGGCCUUCGGGUUGGAAAGCCCGUUUGUUGGGUAAGAAAAGCAGCAGGUUAAUACCCCGCUGUUCUGACGGUACCCAAUGAAUAAGCACCGGCUAACUUCGUG
rnacentral:rRNA from 1 species